rnacentral:rRNA from 1 species
CCUACGGGGGGCAGCAGGGAGGAGUAUUUGACAAUGGGCGAAAGCCUGAUCGAGCAACGCCGCGUGAGGGAUGAAGGUAUUCGUACUGUAAACCUCUUUUCAGGGAGACGAGAAAGUACGGUAUCCCUGGAAUCAGUCACGGCUAACUACGUGCCAGCAGCCGCGGUAAUACGUAGGUGGCGAGCGUUAUCCGGAUUUACUGGGCGUAAAGCGCUUGUAGGUGGCUUGGUAAGUUGGGCGUGAAAUCUCCGGGCUUAACUCGGAGAGGCCGUCCAAUACUGUCAGGCUAGAGGAUAUUUGGGGAAAGUGGAAUUCCUGGUGUAGUAGUGAAAUGCGUAGAUAUCAGGAGGAACACCCGUGGCGAAGGCGGCUUUCUAAGAUAUUCCUGACACUGAGAAGCGACAGCUAGGGGAGCAAACAGGAUUAGAUACCCCAGUAGUC